rnacentral:sRNA from 1 species
GAAACCCUUGCCGGCAACCAACAAUUCACCAACUGGCUCACCUAUUUUUGGCUGGCGUCAGUGGCGAUGUGUGUCUCGGUACAGUUGAUUUAUCUCAACAAAGCUCUGGAUAUCUUUAAUACUUCAAUGGUGACACCGAUUUAUUACGUCUUCUUCACCACAUUCGUCAUUCUUGCCUCAUCGAUUCUGUAUAAGGAGUGGUCUUGUCUCGGAGCAUCUGAUGUUAUUGGAAAUUUUGUCGGCUUUUUGACGACUAUUAUCGGCAUUUUCCAGG